rnacentral:rRNA from 1 species
AGAGCGAACGCUGGCGGCAGGCCUAACACAUGCAAGUCGAGCGCCCGUAGCAAUACGGGAGCGGCAGACGGGAUAGUAACACGUGGGAACGCGCCCUUCGGUUCGGAAUAACUCAGGGAAACUUGAGCUAAUACCGGAUACGCCCUUACGGGGAAAGAUUUAUUGCCGAAGGAACGGCCCGCGUCCGAUUAGCUAGUUGGUGAGGUAAUGGCUCACCAAGGCGACGAUCGGUAGCUGGUCUGAGAGGAUGACCAGCAUCACUGGGGCUGAGACACGGCCCAGACUCCUACGGGAGGCAGCAGUGGGGAAUAUUGGACAAUGGGCGCAAGCCUGAUCCAGCCAUGCCGCGUGGAUGAUGAAGGCCCUAGGGUUGUAAAGUCCGUUUAACGGGAGAUAAUGACGGUACCCGUAGAAUAACGCCCCGGCUAACUUCGUGCCAGCAGCCGC